rnacentral:misc_RNA from 1 species
GAUGAAGAACGCAGCGAAAUGCGAUAAGUAAUGUGAAUUGCAGAAUUCAGUGAAUCAUCGAAUCUUUGAACGCACAUUGCGCCCGCCAGUAUUCUGGCGGGCAUGCCUGUUCGAGCGUCAUUACAACCCUCAGGCCCCCGGGCCUGGCGUUGGGGAUCGGCGGAAGCCCCCUGCGGGCACAACGCCGUCCCCCAAAUACAGUGGCGGUCCCGCCGCAGCUUCCAUUGCGUAGUAGCUAACACCUCGCAACUGGAGAGCGGCGCGGCCACGCCGUAAAACACCCAACGUCUUAGAGUUGACCUCGGAUCAGGUAGGAAUACCCGCUGAACUUAAGCAUAUCAAUAAGCGGAGGA